rnacentral:rRNA from 1 species
AAUACGUUCCCGGACCUUGCACACACCGCCCGUCAAGCCAUGGGAGCCGGGUGUACCUAAAGUCGGUAACCGCAAGGAGCUGCCUAGGGUAAAAUCGGUGACUGGGGCU